GGGGAAUAUUGCACAAUGGGCGAAAGCCUGAUGCAGCAACGCCGCGUGAGUGAUGACGGUCUUCGGAUUGUAAAGCUCUGUCUUUUGGGACGAUAAUGACGGUACCAAAGGAGGAAGCCACGGCUAACUACGUGCCAGCAGCCGCGGUAAUACGUAGGUGGCAAGCGUUGUCCGGAUUUACUGGGCGUAAAGAAUGUGUAGGCGGAUACUUAAGUGAGAUGUGAAAGCCCCGGGCUCAACCUGGGGACUGCAUUUCAAACUGGGUAUCUAGAGUGCAGGAGAGGAAAGCGGAAUUCCUAGUGUAGCGGUGAAAUGCGUAGAGAUUAGGAAGAACAGCAGUGGCGAAGGCGGCUUUCUGGACUGUAACUGGCACUGAGGCUCGAAAGCGUGGGGAGCAAAC
rnacentral:rRNA from 1 species